rnacentral:rRNA from 1 species
CCUACGGGAGACUGCAGUAGGGAAUCUUCCACAAUGGGCGAAAGCCUGAUGGAGCAACGCCGCGUGGGUGAAGAAGGUCUUCGGAUCGUAAAACCCUGUUGUUAGAGAAGAAAGUGCGUGAGAGUAACUGUUCACGUUUCGACGGUAUCUAACCAGAAAGCCACGGCUAACUACGUGCCAGCAGCCGCGGUAAUACGUAGGUGGCAAGCGUUAUCCGGAUUUAUUGGGCGUAAAGGGAACGCAGGCGGUCUUUUAAGUCUGAUGUGAAAGCCUUCGGCUUAACCGGAGUAGUGCAUUGGAAACUGGGAGACUGGAGUGCAGAAGAGGAGAGUGGAACUCCAUGUGUAGCGGUGAAAUGCGUAGAUAUAUGGAAGAACACCAGUGGCGAAAGCGGCUCUCUGGUCUGUAACUGACGCUGAGGUUCGAAAGCGUGGGUAGCAAACAGGAUUAGAUACCCCAGUAGUC